rnacentral:rRNA from 1 species
UACGGGGGGGGGCAAGCGUUGUUCGGAAUUACUGGGCGUAAAGGGCUCGUAGGCGGCCAACUAAGUCGGACGUGAAAUCCCCAGGCUCAACCUGGGAACUGCGUCUGAUACUGGAUGGCUUGAAUCCGGGAGAGGGAUGCAGAAUUCCAGGUGUAGCGGUGAAAUGCGUAGAUAUCUGGAGGAACACCGGUGGCGAAGGCGGCGUCCUGGACCAAUACUGACGCUGAGGAGCGAAAGCAUGGGGAGCGAACAGG